rnacentral:rRNA from 1 species
CCUACGGGUGGCUGCAGUGGGGAAUAUUGCACAAUGGGGGAAACCCUGAUGCAGCGACGCCGCGUGAGUGAAGAAGUAUUUCGGUAUGUAAAGCCCUAUUAGCAGGGAAGAAAAUGACGGUACCUGACUAAGAAGCCCCGGCUAACUACGUGCCAGCAGCCGCGGUAAUACGUAGGGGGCAAGCGUUAUCCGGAUUUACUGGGCGUAAAGGGAGCGUAGACGGUGAUGCAAGUCAGAAGUGAAAGCCCGGGGCUCAACUCCCGGACGGCCUUUGAAACUGCGAGACUGGAGUGAAGGAGAGGUAAGCGGAAUUCGUGGUGUAGCGGUGAAAUGCGUAGAUAUCGCGAAGAACACCAGUGGCGAAGGCGGCUUGCUGGACUGAAACUGACGUUGAGGCUCGAAAGCGUGGGGAGCGAACAGGAUUAGAUACCCCAGUAGUC